rnacentral:rRNA from 1 species
UACAGAGGUCUCAAGCGUUGUUCGGAUUCAUUGGGCGUAAAGGGUGCGUAGGCGGCGCGGUAAGUCGGGGUGUGAAAUCUCGGAGCUUAACUCCGAAACUGCAUUCGAUACUGCCGUGCUUGAGGACUGGAGAGGAGACUGGAAUUUACGGUGUAGCGGUGAAAUGCGUAGAUAUCGUAAGGAAGACCAGUGGCGAAGGCGGGUCUCUGGACAGUUCCUGGCGGCUGAGGCACGAAGGUCAGGGGAGCAAACGGGG